AAGCAGAGACAAAACGCUUGCGUUUUGAACGUUGGCUCCGCCAACGGCCCCAAAGGGGCGAGUGAACAAUGUUCACGAGUAAAACCGACCGCUUGCGAG
rnacentral:ncRNA from 1 species